UUUUGCAAGUUGUACAAGCAUGGCACCAGCAUCCGCUCAGCUUCUGGUGAGGCCCAGGAAGGUUUUACUCACGGUGGAUGGUAAGAGGGAGCAGAGGGAUACGUGGUGGCAGCGAGGUCCUGAGCUGUCCCUAGUUAGCAUCUCCUGCCACAAAUCAGAAACAUGUGACUCAGUCUGGAAUGAGGCUGAUCAAAGCCUUCAUGGAACUAUUCACCCCAGCUAUGGAUGCAAGCACAGGAGUUACAUUCGUGUAUUUGAGAAGAUUAGAAAAAUAGAGAAAAGCAUAGAAAAGAAAGGAAGACUCAUCUUGUCUCCCAUCACCCUGAGUUACAGUGAGGACUUGGUGGGCUGCCUUCUGUACUCUUACCCCUCGUGCCCUCCAGAUCCAUGCCCUGUGCUGCUCUGUGCCUGCAGCCUCAUCAACAGGCCCUGUGUCCUCUUAUAUGGCUGGGUUUGGCCACUUGGAAGGCCUGGCAGAAGGAAGGAGAGGAAAGUCAGUGAAAUUGUUCCCCUGGCACCCUCCCUGCAAGGUCACCUUGCUGCAGAUCACUACUGCUCUCAAGACUCAGGAGCCUAAUGAGACACUGUCUCCUGCCGCACUCUGCAUACUAUCCCUUACUUCCCUCCUGACCCUAAUACUGAUGUGGUAAACAUAAAAGCCUAAACAUUGCAGGGGAGAGCAAAUCAUCUGCAGUCAACUAGAGCACAGCAGCAGCCACUGAUGAAUGAGAGAACAAACUUGCCUUCCUUCUAAGUGUGGGCCUUCCAGUCAUCCACAGGUAUGGAUGCACAGUGGAAAUUUUGUUGGUCGUCGCUUGCUGCAUGGAUGACAGAAUUUGGAGUAGAAAGCUGAAUUAAAGUAUUGAGGUCACACACUACUUUCAGUUCACAAAUUCCAAAUUCAGUCAUCCUUACUGAUUCUCUUAAUAGCUUACUAGUAAGAAGCAACAAAUUUGUCAUAAAAACAACAGUGGAAGGAUUGUGUGGCAUUCACUCAGAAGAGUAGAGGGGAUUUACCUGUUUGGAAAGCAGUUUGCACCCAUCUGGAGAAUUCUUGUAUCCCACCAGUGCUUUGAAGUCUACUUUGAAAGUGACUGUUAAAAUUACUGCAUUGGCAAAAAUUUAUAAGCUACCCUGCCCUGAGAUAGCCAAAGUCCUAGAGAAUUGGGACUCUGUGAUGGAAAAGGCCACUCACCUGAAUCAUGCUUGUUCCCAGUGAGGAGCAACCCUUCAAACGAUGAAGGUCCUUCUGAAGCAUCAGUGUCAGCAUCUGGGACAAUUUUUCUAGAAAGAACUUGCUGUGUGAACUGAAAACACUCGGGGAAAUCUUUUCACAAGGAGGUUCUAAGAGCUGAAUAAGUAUUGAGGAGCUCCAGCCCUACUCUAACCUUUAAAUCGUAACCAGACUUCCCUUGCCAAUGCCAGGGUGGAGCUCUAGAAGCAGUGGCUUUAGACCCGCUUGUUUCACUGUGCUCUGGUCUUCUCAACUCUCUUGUCUUAGGAUCUCACCAGAAACUGCCCUGGUUUUUUUUUUUCCUAUCUCUAAAUUCUGAUUCCUCACUUAACCUUUGGGCUUGGGGACCCUCUUGGGCUUCCCUAGCUUGGACCAUUUCAGGCUGUCAUUAGUGACUUGCACCUAUUGUCUUGUUCUUCCUACACCUGACCCACUUGCAGUUUCAUUUCCAGUUCCAGCUGCCCAGAAGGGAGGUGAGAUGCAGCAAAACAACACCCUCAAGUCUCUGGAAUCCAAACACGCCUGCCGCAGUUAACCAUCAUGUACACCUAGGGACAAGUCUGGGUUCAGCCAUGUGCUGUAGAUCUGUACUUUGUAGGAAUUGAGAGUAUGUAUGAAUUUGGGGUUGAUAGCUAGGUAGAUACUCAGUUAUUUCCGUAUCACUUGUUAUAGCCAUCUUCCCACCGCCAUGACCACCUAGACCCUUCCCCAGAACUCUCUGGACCUUCCUAAUCCUGCAACUUAAGAGGCAAUGCCUGGCCAACAGGGGGUGGGAGGAUGCCAGUGGAGCUUUGAUUAGGUACCGUGACCAACAUUCUUUCUAAUUGGUUGAUACCUGAGCCAUCUAGUCAUUAUAAAUCUUAAAUUUCAACCCUGUGCAAGUGUGCUGUAGUCUUGGUUCCCUUAUAAAAAAUGAAAAAGAAAAAUAGCCUGCCAUGUCAAAUAUUCUCAGCCUGCAGUUUCUUCUCUUCAAAGGCCACCCCAGAGGCAUGAAUGUUUGUUUGCAACAAGGAGAUGAUUUCAUAAAUAUUGCUCUUUGCCAAAUCCCCAGAGGCCAUUGAAGGUUGGGUGCUAAUAAAGCUUGAAUUCCUAUUAAGCA
rnacentral:lncRNA from 13 species